rnacentral:rRNA from 1 species
GACGAACGCUGGCGGCGUGCUUAACACAUGCAAGUCGAACGAGACGAUUGAAAGCUUGCUUUCGAAAGUCGAGUGGCAAACGGGUGAGUAACGCGUAGACAACCUGCCUUUGAGAUGGGGACAACAGUUCGAAAGGACUGCUAAUACCGAAUGUUGUAUAUUUUCCACAUGAAAGAUAUAUUAAAGAUGGCCUCUAUUUAUAAGCUAUCGCCCAAAGAUGGGUCUGCGUCUGAUUAGCUGGUUGGUGGGGUAACGGCCUACCAAGGCGACGAUCAGUAGCCGGUCUGAGAGGAUGAACGGCCACAUUGGGACUGAGACACGGCCCAGACUCCUACGGGAGGCAGCAGUGGGGAAUCUUCCACAAUGGACGAAAGUCUGAUGGAGCAACGCCGCGUGAGUGAAGAAGGGUUUCGGCUCGUAAAGCUCUGUUGUCGGGGACGAAUGUGCAGUAUUUGAAUAAAGUACUGUAAUGACGGUACCUGACGAGGAAGCCACGGCUAACUACGUGCCAGCAGCCGCCGUAA